rnacentral:rRNA from 1 species
GAUGAACGCUGGCGGUAUGCCUAACACAUGCAAGUCGUACGAGAGUUUUUAACUCUAGUGGCGGACGGGUGAGUAACACGUGAGAAUUUGCCUUUAGGAGGGGGACAACAAUCGGAAACGAAUGCUAAUACCCCAUAUGCUUUCGAGUGAAAUGGAUUUUAUCCGCCUAGAGAGAAGCUCGCGGCUGAUUAGCUUGUUGGUAAGGUAAGAGCUUACCAAGGCGACGAUCAGUAUCUGGUUUGAGAGGACGAUCAGACACACUGGAACUGAGACACGGUCCAGACUCCUACGGGAGGCAGCAGUGGGGAAUUUUCCGCAAUGGGCGAAAGCCUGACGGAGCAAUACCGCGUGAGGGAAGACUGCCUAUGGGUUGUAAACCUCUUUUUCAGGGAGGAAUAAAAUGACGUGUACCUGAAGAAUAAGCAUCGGCUAACUCCGUG